rnacentral:rRNA from 1 species
GCGGCAGGCCUAACACAUGCAAGUCGAGCGGUAACAGAAAGUAGCUUGCUACUUUGCUGACGAGCGGCGGACGGGUGAGUAAUGCUUGGGAACAUGCCUURRGGUGGGGGACAACAGUUGGAAACGACUGCUAAUACCGCAUAAUGUCUACGGACCAAAGGGGGCUUCGGCUCUCGCCUUUAGAUUGGCCCAAGUGGGAUUAGCUAGUUGGUGAGGUAAUGGCUCACCAAGGCGACGAUCCCUAGCUGGUUUGAGAGGAUGAUCAGCCACACUGGGACUGAGACACGGCCCAGACUCCUACGGGAGGCAGCAGUGGGGAAUAUUGCACAAUGGGCGCAAGCCUGAUGCAGCCAUGCCGCGUGUGUGAAGAAGGCCUUCGGGUUGUAAAGCACUUUCAGUCAGGAGGAAAGCGUGGUGGUUAAUACCCAUCAUGUGUGACGUUACUGACAGAAGAAGCACCGGCUAACUCCGUGCCAGCAGCCGCGGUAAUACGGAGGGUGCGAGCGUUAAUCGGAAUUACUGGGCGUAAAGCGUACGCAGGCGGUUUGUUAAGCGAGAUGUGAAAGCCCCGGGCUCAACCUGGGAACUGCAUUUCGAACUGGCAAACUAGAGUGUGAUAGAGGGUGGUAGAAUUUCAGGUGUAGCGGUGAAAUGCGUAGAGAUCUGAAGGAAUACCGAUGGCGAAGGCAGCCACCUGGGUCAACACUGACGUCAUGUACGAAAGCGUGGGGAGCAAACGGGAUUAGAUACCCCGGUAGUCCACGCCGUAAACGAUGUCUACUAGAAGCUCGGAGCCUCGGUUCUGUUUU